AAAACACAAUGGAAAAAGCAAGCAUCUUUAUUGUGAAUAGGGUACAUUACAUGCAUAUAAUUAUUCGGCGUUGCAUAGCUCAAGCAAGGGAACCAUCAAUUUAUUUGUUAUAGAAGCAGCAACACAGCGGAGUAGGCUCGACAGCCCUGCAGAAGGAAGUGUAGAAACGCCUGCCCGAACGCACGCAUAUAGCUUUGCAUACAGCAGCAUCGCAUGUAUCUAGAUGAGUGCAGUCGGCCUCUACAAAAUACAAUAUGUGCACACAUAUCAAACAUGUUGCAAUUUUUAUAGGUUUAAUAAAAUUAAACAUUUGAAAAAAUGCAUAUGAAAGUAGAGAUAUGUACCAGCAUGGCACGAUGGCAUGGUAGAGCACAUCAUCACAGCAAGCACCACGAAAGCAACAACCAUCGAGCGCACAAUAGUCGGCCGUGCUGCACUGCACUUGGCGAGAGCCAUUGAUGAGAACAAACACAGAGAUUGCUUGUAU
rnacentral:lncRNA from 1 species